UACAGAGGGGGCAAGCGUUGUUCGGAAUUACUAGGCGUAAAGGGCGCGUAGGCGGCCUUCUAAGUCAGACGUGAAAUCCCUCGGCUCAACCGGGGAACUGCGUCUGAGACUGGAAGGCUUGAAUCCGGGAGAGGGAUGUGGAAUUCCAGGUGUAGCGGUGAAAUGCGCAGAUAUCAGGAGGAACACCGGUGGCGAAGGCGGGUCUCUGGGCCGAUACUGACGCUGAGGAGCGAAAGCGUGGGGAGCGAACAGG
rnacentral:rRNA from 1 species